CCCCCCCAAGCCAGCCUGCUGCUGAUAUUCCCAUGUGUGACGAGGGACGAGCGGGAAGGAAUCAGGAGAGCUUAACGAGGACCUUUCUUCUGACCUGGCAGCUUCCCCCCGCCAUACACCGGUUUUUUGAUCGUGGUCAAAGACACAUACAAUUUAUCAUCUUAGCGGUUUUGUGUCCAUUUCAGGGGCGGUAAGCGCGUUCCCAUUGUUGUGCAGCCAUCGCUGCCAUCCAUCUGCGAGACGUUUUCAUCUUCCCAGAGUGAGAGCCCCAGCCCCACCGUCGGCCCCCUGCGUCUGUGUGCGGGACAGCUCCAGCGACCUCACAGAGGUGGGGUCACACGUACUUGUGCUUUCGUACCCGGCUCGCGUCACUCAGCAUCACGUCCUUGAGGUCCACGCAUGUGGUAGCAGGUGCCAACGCGUCCCUCUUCGUUACGGCCCACGCCAUCCCACAGUGUGGAUGUGCCACGUCGUAUUUAUCCGUCACCCAUCCGUGGACACAUCAUGUUUCCUGGUGUUGGAGGCAAGCUGGAGGAUGUCCUGGGAAAACAAGCCAGUGUUUGGAUGGUUUCAGAUCUCCUUUACGUGUAUUGACUACGCUGUGGAUUUCAGUCACGUGCUGUAAUUUUGAAUAAUGCAUAUUCGUCAAAACAAGCCACAGCGUUUAAAUAACAACAGUUUGGGGCAUCUGGGGGCUCAGUCGAUCAAGUGUCCAACUCUUGACUUUGGCUCAGGUCAUGAUCUCGCGGUCCGCGGGUUCAAGCCCCACGUCCGGCUCUGUGCUGACAAUGUGGAGCCUGCUUGGGAUUCUUUCUCUCUCUCCCUCUGCCUUCCCCCUCUCGGGUCUGUCUGUCUGUCUCUCUCAAGAUAAAUAAACUUAAAACAUUUUUUUAAGUAAGUAACGUAACAGUUCUGAAAUACCUCUUUAGCCGCCACCAUCAUGGCGCUUGGCAUCUGCCUCUCUCGGUAGUUUCUCACUGAGAUGUGUUUAUUUCGAGAAUAUUCAGACACAUGUCACAACUCACUGACUGGUGGGCUCAUUACGGGCAGGGUCACAUCUCCCAUUUCCUUGUUUUUGGUUCUGCCAAGAAUAAUCACCCUGUAGGUCUGUUUCUGUGGGUAGCGGGGGCAUGUUUGCAGGGACGUCGAGGCCCGGGGACCAUUGGAGCAGAUUGCAGCGACAUCCGUACCCCCGUCCAGAUUCCUGUGUGGCUCCCGGGGCCCGAGGGACGAUGGCACAGAAGGUCCCCCUCGGCCGUCCGCCUCUGCCUUCCAGAGGCUGCAGCAAGAGGGGGCCCCCCUCGUCCUUUCUGGGGUAACUCUUUCUGCUUCCCUGGUCCACAGAAUAGCAUCCUGUGAAGAAAUUUGGCUCCAUAUUUUUUUGUGCCCCCAGAAUUUUUACAUUGGGGCGCCCGGGUGGCUCAGUCGGUUGAGCAUCCAACUUUUGAUUUCGGCUCAGAUCGUGACCUCACGGCUCGUGGGGUGGAGCCCUGUGUUGGACUCUGCUCUGGGUGUGGAGCCUGCUUGGGAUUCUCUUUCUCUGCCUCUCUCCCCUGCUCACACGCUCCUGCCCUCUCUCUCUAAAAGAAGAAAAAUAAAAAUAAAAAAUUUUUAUUGA